UACGUAGGGCGCAAGCGUUGUCCGGAAUUAUUGGGCGUAAAGAGCUCGUAGGUGGCUUGUCGCGUCUGCCGUGAAAGCCCAUGGCUUAACUGUGGGUCUGCGGAUGGAUACGGGCUGGCUAGAGGUGAGGUAGGGCAAGCGGAAUUCCUGGUGUAGCGGUGAAAUGCGCAGAUAUCAGGAGGAACACCGGUGGCGAAGGCGGCUUGCUGGGCCUUACCUGACGCUGAGGAGCGAAAGCGUGGGGAGCGAACAGG
rnacentral:rRNA from 1 species